UACGUAGGUGGCAAGCGUUGUCCGGAUUUACUGGGCGUAAAGAGCGCGCAGGCGGUCGAAUAAGUCGAAUGUGAAAGCCCCCGGCUUAACUGGGGAGGGUCAUUCGAUACUGCUCGACUUGAAGGCAGGAGAGGGUAGUGGAAUUCCCGGUGUAGUGGUGAAAUGCGUAGAUAUCGGGAGGAACACCAGUGGCGAAGGCGACUACCUGGCCUGUUCUUGACGCUGAGGAGCGAAAGCGUGGGGAGCAAACAGG
rnacentral:rRNA from 1 species